CUCCCUUCUACUCUACCUACCAACCGUGAGCAACGCUUGAAAACCGAAUUGCAUUGGCGAUCCUACCCAGGGGGGGAGGAGAUGUGGUGGUUCGUUGGCAUCAAUUUCGGAAUAUCGUCAAUUCAUUCCAUCGCCUACCUUUCCAUCUCGACGGCGAAAUGCCUCCUAUCUGGGAGAAAGCUACCUAUCCGUUUACCUCGACAAUAAACCGUUUACCUCGACAAUGAGAAGCCUUCCGAUCCUUUCCGAUCCUUUUCUAUUUUCCAAAGAGAGCCACUAUUAAAGACCAUCAGAGAAUCCAAAUUCCAAAGCUUCCUAUCAUCGAAAAUCAUCGCGAAACCAUCUUCCUUGAGAACGAGAACGAGAACCGACGCCUUGAGUCGAGACCUACAAAGAUAUGCUCCGAAAACACAUGGUGGAGAAGUUGCUUGAGGGCUGAACGGCACCGAAGUGGUGGGCUGGACUUUUGACCAUUGCAUGGGGUUGGGGUAGGCUAUCGUUGAGGUUAUUUAUAUUGAUUAUUAGAGUUUGGGAGAUGGUUAGGAGGAUAUUGAUGACGAGGAUUUGGGAUUGGAGAUGAUGAUGGAUUUUGGCCGCGUGGUAUCGGCCUUAGGAGAGUAGGGGGUAUUGUGGAAGGUGCAAUGGUGCAUAUGGAUUCUGCUGCAGUAUUUAACUGGUGGUUACGGUGAGAAACCGUUAGU